rnacentral:rRNA from 1 species
CGAACGCUGGCGGCGUGCCUAAUACAUGCAAGUUGAGCGAUGAAGAUUGGUGCUUGCACCAAUUUGAAGAGCAGCGAACGGGUGAGUAACGCGUGGGGAAUCUGCCUUUGAGCGGGGGACAACAUUUGGAAACGAAUGCUAAUACCGCAUAACAACUUUAAACAUAAGUUUUAAGUUUGAAAGAUGCAAUUGCAUCACUCAAAGAUGAUCCCGCGUUGUAUUAGCUAGUUGGUGAGGUAAAGGCUCACCAAGGCGAUGAUACAUAGCCGACCUGAGAGGGUGAUCGGCCACAUUGGGACUGAGACACGGCCCAAACUCCUACGGGAGGCAGCAGUAGGGAAUCUUCGGCAAUGGACGAAAGUCUGACCGAGCAACGCCGCGUGAGUGAAGAAGGUUUUCGGAUCGUAAAACUCUGUUGGUAGAGAAGAACGUUGGUGAGAGUGGAAAGCUCAUCAAGUGACGGUAACUACCCAGAAAGGGACGGCUAACUAC